GCCAGCAGCCAUAUCACUCUGCAACUCACACCUGGCAGCCCACUGAAGCUCAGCAGGUUCGAGCCUGGUCAGUACCUGGAUGGGAGACCUCCUGGGAAAAACAAAGGUUGCUGCUGGAA
rnacentral:rRNA from 1 species